rnacentral:rRNA from 1 species
UGGGGAAUUUUCCGCAAUGGGCGCAAGCCUGACGGAGCAACGCCGCGUGAGGGAGGAAGGCCUGUGGGUUGUAAACUUCUUUUCUCUGUGAAGAAGAUCUGACGGUAGCAGAGGAAUCAGCAUCGGCUAACUCCGUGCCAGCAGCCGCGGUAAGACGGAGGAUGCAAGCGUUAUCCGGAAUUAUUGGGCGUAAAGCGUCCGUAGGCGGUUUGUCAAGUCUGCUGUUAAAGACUACAGCUCAACUGUGGGAUGGCGGUGGAAACUGAUGAACUAGAGUGCGGUAGGGGUAGAGGGAAUUCCCAGUGUAGCGGUGAAAUGCGUAGAUAUUGGGAAGAACACCGGUGGCGAAAGCGCUCUGCUAGGCCGUAACUGACACUGAGGGACGAAAGCUAAGGGAGCGAAUGGGAUUAGAUACCCCCGUAGUCC